rnacentral:rRNA from 1 species
ACGAUGUGGGAAGGCACAGACAGCCAGGAUGUUGGCUUAGAAGCAGCCAUCAUUUAAAGAAAGCGUAAUAGCUCACUGGUCGAGUCGGCCUGCGCGGAAGAUGUAACGGGGCUAAACCAUGCACCGAAGCUGCGGCAGCGACACUAUGUGUUGUUGGGUAGGGGAGCGUUCUGUAAGCCGUUGAAGGUGUAUCGUGAGGUAUGCUGGAGGUAUCAGAAGUGCGAAUGCUGACAUAAGUAACGAUAAUGCGGGUGAAAAACCCGCACGCCGGAAGACCAAGGGUUCCUGUCCAACGUUAAUCGGGGCAGGGUGAGUCGACCCCUAAGGCGAGGCCGAAAGGCGUAGUCGAUGGGAAACAGGUUAAUAUUCCUGUACUUGGUGUUACUGCGAAGGGGGGACGGAGAAGGCUAUGUUAGCCGGGCGACGGUUGUCCCGGUUUAAGCAUGUA